UCUAAAGGUAUAUGUUAAAUAUGAUCAUCAUUAACAACAAUAAAACUAUAUACAUUUCGCUGCUUUAUCACACUGAAACAACUCCCAUUGGUAGUUUUAUUUUAUUACUUCUAUCAUGAUUGGUUAAUCUGGCUGUCAUUCAGGAAACUGGACAAUGAAUCGGUUCGCACCUUUCUACAUUUAAAAAUAUGACCAUUAUUGUCGUCUUUCUGUGAGUGAGGCGGCUAACUGUGAGCUGCUGCUCGUUAUAACUGACUGCUCGGUCGGUCCCGAAUUAUUUCAUAUUUGCCUGUACAUUUUUUAUUUAUUUUGAGCGAAUUUGAGUCGUGACAUGUCAAUGGAGAACAAAAACUGUGAACAAAAGAAGGGUCAGGUGUUCUGCGAGGUCCUGAAAACAUCCUGGCAAAAUGAGAGUCAUCAAGGAUCCAGUUUAUUCUUGAAACAUUGAAGUUUGCCCUCUGCAAGUGAACGACGCCUUGUGGUGCCAUCCCAAAGAGGUUCAAAAUCACUCUCACGGACCUUUUCCUGGACUGUGUCCAGCUGCUGGAAUCACCUCCCAAUCUCAAUCCGAACUGAGUGUUUACUCAUUUUCAAGAAACAUCUUAAGACUCAUCUUUUUCACCAGAACUUAACCAACUAAUGCUAGCACUUUUCCUUCUUUUCUUGUCUUUCAUAUAAAAAAAAAAACCUGGCUAUGCGUUCUGUACUAGACUAACUGAGACUUGUCAUAGCACUUGUAUCCUGUUGUUGUUCGUUUGUACACCUGACUGCUUCUGUUGUUCUCAUUUGU